rnacentral:rRNA from 1 species
CCGCGUGAGGGAGGAAGGCUCUUGGGUUGUAAACCUCUUUUCUCAGGGAAGAACAUAAUGACGGUACCUGAGGAAUAAGCAUCGGCUAACUCCGUGCCAGCAGCCGCGGUAAUACGGAGGAUGCAAGCGUUAUCCGGAAUGAUUGGGCGUAAAGCGUCCGCAGGUGGCUAUGUAAGUCUGCUGUUAAAGAGUGAGGCUCAACCUCAUAAGAGCAGUGGAAACUACAUAGCUAGAGUGCGUUCGGGGCAGAGGGAAUUCCUGGUGUAGCGGUGAAAUGCGUAGAGAUCAGGAAGAACACCGGUGGCGAAAGCGCUCUGCUAGGCCGCAACUGACACUGAGGGACGAAAGCUAGGGGAGCGAAUGGGAUUAGAUACCCCAGUAGUCCUAGCCGUAAACGAUGGAUACUAGGCGUGGCUUGUAUCGACCCGAGCCGUGCCGGAGCUAACGCGUUAAGUAUCCCGCCUGGGGAGUACGCACGCAAGUGUGAAACUCAAAGGAAUUGACGGGGGCCCGCACAAGCGGUGGAGUAUGUGGUUUAAUUCGAUGCAACGCGAAGAACCUUACCAAGACUUGACAUGUCGCGAACUUUUCUGAAAGGAAAAGGUGCCUUCGGGAGCGCGAACACAGGUGGUGCAUGGCUGUCGUCAGCUCGUGUCGUGAGAUGUUGGGUUAAGUCCCGCAACGAGCGCAACCCUCGUUUUUAGUUGCCAGCAUUAAGUUGGGCACUCUAGAGAGACUGCCGGUGACAAACCGGAGGAAGGUGGGGAUGACGUCAAGUCAGCAUGCCCCUUACGUCUUGGGCUACACACGUACUACAAUGCUACGGACAAAGGGCAGCGAGCUAGCGAUAGCAAGCAAAUCUCAUAAACCGUGGCUCAGUUCAGAUCGCAGGCUGCAACUCGCCUGCGUGAAGGAGGAAUCGCUAGUAAUUGCAGGUCAGCA